UAUUUAAAUAUAUAAUUAGGAAGACCUUCAAUAUCAUUAAGAUAGAAUGACAAGAGUCUCUGAUGGAGGCUCAGACCACCAUAUUAACAAAAUUCUUAAUAACAUUGUUCCCUUCUCUAAAGGUAUGAGUAAAAUACACCUCCUUCUUCUCUUGAUGAAUAACAUAAUAACAAAAACAAAUCAAAACAAAAUCUAGAGUAACGCAUUCAUGCAAAAAAUGCAAAUACAUUCAUCAAGCUUUUUAAAUAUAUAAUUAGGAAGAUCUUCAAUAUCAUUAAGAUAGAAUGACAAGCGUUUCUGAUAGAGGACCAGACCACCAUAUUAACAAAUUUCGGAAUAACAUUGUUCCCUUCGCUAAAGAUAUGAGUAAAAUACACUUCUAUCUUCUCUUUGAUCAAUAAGCAGUUUUUCCAUUAAUUGAUCAAAGACCAAAAGGGAAGGAAGCCUAUCAUUGUGUAAAUGAAGAAUAUUGAGCAUUUAAUCAAACUCAAUCCAAACUCAAAAGUCUGAAACCAUCAAUGCUAAUCAUGAUAUCAUCAAACAGGGAAGCUGAAACGAGCUUUCACACUCAAAAAAGAACCUCCCAAGCGAAGGGAGAAAAUUAGGGAGGAAUACACACACACACACACACAUACACAUAUAUAUAAAUACACACCUGGCCAUAUAGUUCCUUUGCCCUGACAAAAAUAAGAGAGAACACCUUUAAUCAUGAUGAUUCUCUUUAAGAAAGAUGGAUUUAUGAGUAUUUUGAAACUUGGGGUGUAAGUAGAACCACUUCUGAUGAACUAUGUAUAUACCGAGAUAAAAUAUGGAUCCCAUGGGGCUUCUAUUUGCACUCUUUUAUUUUUCUGUUAAAACCCCUCUUCUAAAUAAGCCUAAUUAAACAAUUAAAAAUGCACAUUAUUUUUAUUGCACUUAAAUAACCCUUAUAUAUGUAUGCUUCCCGAACACACCCCUUCUCCAACUAAACAAGUUUUUCUAGAAUUAUUCCUUUUAUUCAAAAUAAUUAACGGCUAGGGGCUCUUAGGAUUGAUGUAUUGUUUUCUAAAGAUUAGUUUCAUUUUGAUAAAUUUAGUUGGAUGAGUUUGUAACAAGCCUUUUACAGAGAGUUUGUGCUAUAGCCGGCCAGUCCCAAUAAGGUUCUGUCUUUGUUCAUGGAGAAUUUGAGAUACCUUUAUAAUUUCCUUUUAAUGCCAUCGAUAAUAAUAAUUUAUACAUAGUGAUUCAUUGUGGUACUAUUGAAUAAUAAUUUACCAAGUAAAUAUAAAAUGAAUUAAUUGAAAAAUAAAUAGUUUUAAUAAAUAUAAUUAUAUUAAGUUCCCAAAAAAAAUAAAAAUAGUUCACCUUAAAUAGUAAACAUGAAAUAAGAAAAUGAAAAAAAAUAUAUUUUUAACUUUCCAGUGCUAAUAAUGCCUUUUAAUUUCAAGCCACAGACUUCACACAACUCAAAAAAUAUCUAGGCCAAAACUUUCUAUCCACAAUUUUUAGUCAAUGUAUACAGCUAGUCAACUCAAAAGUAAAUCGAUAAUUUUAAAAAAGAAACAUACUUUAGUCAUUUAAUAUUCCUUCGUACUAAAGGUAUAUGGUUGAUGUUCCAAAAUAAUUUGAAGAAAAAGAAGCUUCCUAAUUAACUUAUAGUCGCAUUAUAAACACUAAGAAAGAAUAUAUAUGUGUGUGUGUGUAAUCUUAAAGGAGUUUUUUUUUUCUUUUAAUUAUAUAUAUGUGAACUUAUAUUAGCUGCAUACCUAACCAAAAAAAAUGAUAGAAAGCACAAAUAUAUGUAAAUUAACAAACCUCUGAUUGUGGGAGAGACAGAGACUGCAUAAUCCUCCAUUUGUAAAGAAUGAGAAGAGGAAUGGUUGUGGUGGCGGAGAUGGCUUCCAUGUUUACUUUAUUGCCAUGCCUUCUCAAUAAGGAUAACUAUCGAUAGCAUAUGCACAUAUAUUAUACAAUGAUUCAGUAUGGCCUGGC
rnacentral:lncRNA from 1 species